GAACGCUGGCGGCAUGCUUAACACAUGCAAGUCGCACGAAGGUUUCGGCCUUAGUGGCGGACGGGUGAGUAACGCGUAGGAAUCUAUCCACGGGUGGGGGAUAACUUCGGGAAACUGAAGCUAAUACCGCAUGAUACCUGAGGGUCAAAGGCGCAAGUCGCCUGUGGAGGAGCCUGCGUUUGAUUAGCUUGUUGGUGGGGUAAUGGCCUACCAAGGCGAUGAUCGAUAGCUGGUUUGAGAGGAUGAUCAGCCACACUGGGACUGAGACACGGCCCAGACUCCUGCGGGAGGCAGCAGUGAGGAAUAUUGGACAAUGGGGGCAACCCUGAUCCAGCAAUGCCGCGUGUGUGAAGAAGGUUUUCGGAUUGUAAAGCACUUUCGGCGGGGACGAUGAUGACGGUACCCGCAGAAGAAGCCCCGGCUAACUUCGUGCCAGCAGCCGCGGUAAUACGAAGGGGGCUAGCGUUGCUCGGAAUGACUGGGCGUAAAGGGCGUGUAGGCGGUUUGUACAGUCAGAUGUGAAAUCCCCGGGCUUAACCUGGGAGCUGCAUUUGAUACGUGCAAACUAGAGUGUGAGAGAGGGUUGUGGAAUUCCCAGUGUAGAGGUGAAAUUCGUAGAUAUUGGGAAGAACACCGGUGGCGAAGGCGGCAACCUGGCUCAUAACUGACGCUGAGGCGCGAAAGCGUGGGGAGCAAACAGG
rnacentral:rRNA from 1 species